UACGAAGGGGGCUAGCGUUGCUCGGAAUCACUGGGCGUAAAGGGUGCGUAGGCGGGUCUUUAAGUCAGGGGUGAAAUCCUGGAGCUCAACUCCAGAACUGCCUUUGAUACUGAGGAUCUUGAGUAUGGGAGAGGUGAGUGGAACUGCGAGUGUAGAGGUGAAAUUCGUAGAUAUUCGCAAGAACACCAGUGGCGAAGGCGGCUCACUGGUCCGGUACUGACGCUGAGGUGCGAAAGCGUGGGGAGCAAACAGGGAUUAGAUACCCGAGUAACGU
rnacentral:rRNA from 1 species